GGGGGGGGGGGGGGGGGGGGGGGGGGGGGGGGGGGGGGGGGGGGGGGGGGGGGGGGGGGGGGGCCCACAGUGGGGGCACCCCGAGAUCCCACAGUGGGGCACCCCGGGACCCCACAAUGGGGCACCCCGGGAUCCCUGAUCCCACAACUGGGGGUGCCUAGAGACCCCCGAGCCCACAACGGGAGCCGUCCAUGACCCCUCUGAGCCCCCCAGGCACGGGGACCCCAGGGCGGGUCCCGCCUCCCUGUGCCCGCCGCCAGGGCCUGCAGUGUGACACUGGGGACGGGGACGGGAUGCUCUGGUGACCCAGUCUGCCCUCCUGCUGUUCCCAUUAUUCCCACUGUUCCCAGAGUUCCCAGGUGUUCAGUAUCUCCAGUAUCCCCGUCAUUCCCGGUGACCCCAGUAUCCCCAUUCUUCCUGGUGUUCCCAUUAUUCCCAGUAUCCCCAUUAUUCCUGGUGUUCCCAUUAUUCCCAGUAUCCCCACUGUCCUCAUUGUUCCCAGUAUCCCCAUUAUUCCCAUUAUUUCCAUUAUCCUCAGUGUUCCCAGGUGCCCAGUGUCUUCAGUUACCCCAUUAUCCCCCUUAUUCCCAUGGUUCCUGCUGUUCCCAGGAGCCCAUUAUGCCCAGUAUUCCCAGUAUGGCCAUUCUUCCCAGUAUUCCCAUUAUUCCCAGAGUUCCUGCUGUUCCCAGGUGCCCAGUGUCCCAGUAUCCCCAUUAUUCCCGGCAUUCCCAUUAAUCCUGGAGUUCCCAGUGUCCCAGUAUCCCCAUCAUUCCCGUUAUUCCCAUUAUUCCUGAUGCUCCCAUUAUUCCCAGAGUUCCCAGGAGCCCACUAUCCCCAGUAUCCCCACUAUCCCCAGUAUCCCCAUUAUCCCCACUAUCCCCACUAUCCUCGAUAUCCCCAUUAUCUUCGUUAUCCCCAGUAUCCCCAGUAUCCCCAAUAUCCCCACUAUCCCCAUUAUCCCCACUAUCCCCAUUAUCCUCGCUAUCCCCAGCAUCCUCGCUAUCCCCAUUAUCCCCACUAUCCCCACUAACCCCACUAUCCCCAGUAUCCCCAGUAUUCCCAGUAUCCCCAUUAUCUCCACUAUCCCCGCUAUCCCCACUAUCCCCGCUAUCCCCACUAUCCCCGCUAUCCCCACUAUCCCCGCUAUCCCCACUAUCCCCGCUAUCCCCACUAUCCCCGCUAUCCCCACUAUCCCCGCUAUCCCCACUAUCC
rnacentral:lncRNA from 12 species